rnacentral:misc_RNA from 1 species
CUUUGCUUCUCUUUCUUCCCUUGUGAUUCAAAUUUCUUUUGCUAUGGUUCUUUCUAAAAAACUCAUCUUUUUUGUUCUGUUUUUGUCGAUUUCUCUGUUUCUAUUUCCAGCAAGUGCUAUCAGAGGUUUUGUUGAGAAGCCCAGAAAUAUAAAAAUUGAUGGGUAUUUGGAUUAUGUUGAAUCUCCAGAGUAUCGUAAUAGCCAAGAAUGUCCAGUUUUAGAUACGAAUAUGUUAAUUUGUGACCCAAAUUUGAUACAUGUAGCUAUGACUCUUGAUGUCAAAUAUUUUAGAGGAUCAGUAGCAGCAGUUCACUCUGUUCUCAAGCAUUCAUCUUGCCCAGAAAAUGUUUAUUUCCAUUUUGUGGCUUCAAAGGAUAAAGAUUUUCAAGACCUGAGAAAGAUGGUGAAGUCCAUAUUUCCAUCUCUGAGUUUCAAAGUUUACAGCUUUAAUGAAUUUCGAGUGAAGAAACUGAUAUCAUCUUCGAUUCGUCAAGCUCUUGAUAAUCCAUUGAACUAUGCUAGGACUUAUUUAGCUGAGAUCAUCCAGCCCUGUGUUGAAAGGGUAAUUUAUCUUGAUUCUGAUGUUGUUUUGGUUGAUGACAUCCAAAAGUUAUGGUCAAUUUCUUUAACUGGUUCGAAAAUUAUUGGAGCUCCAGAGUAUUGUCAAGCAAAUUUCAGAACAUAUUUCACCAACAAUUUUUGGUCUGACCCGAAAUUAUCGAAUGUGUUUCAAGGGAAAAAGCCUUGUUAUUUCAAUACAGGGGUGAUGGUUAUGGAUUUAGGGAAAUGGAGAAAAGGGGAUUAUACAGUUAAGAUUGAGAAAUGGAUGAAGAUACAGAAAGAAAAAAGGAUUUAUGAAUUGGGAUCAUUGCCACCAUUUAUGUUGGUAUUUGGAGGGGAAAUUGAAAGAAUUGAUCAUAGAUGGAAUCAACAUGGGCUUGGUGGAGAUAACUUGGUGAAUAGUUGUAGAACAUUGCAUCCAGGUCCAGUCAGUUUGUUGCAUUGGAGUGGUAAA